GGGGGUAUAACUUAAUUAGGUAAAGUGUUUGUUUUGCAAGCAUAAAAUACUGGUUCAAGCCCGGUUACUUCCA
rnacentral:tRNA from 1 species